AGAGAAUCACCAGGGAGUAUGAUACAGAUUCAUGACUUAGACAAAGCUUAAGCUAGACAGUGGAGUAACGUGAAAAUCAAAAUUACAAUAGGAACAUAUCACACUCAUUUAACUUCUUCGAUUUCAUCCAAUGCAUAGUUGUUUGUAGAUACAUUCGCAUAAUUAACUUUGUCGAAUCGAACCACAACUGGGUAACGUGUUUUUGGGUCCUGAUCAACAGCUACAACAGAUCCUAUGCCAUUGAACCAGUAGGAUUCCCUCCUGAGAAUCUUCACCUUGGUUCCUCUCUUGGGUCCAAUCGGUGGUGGCUUAGGUUUUGGUGCUUCAGCUUCUGCUGGUGCUGUGGUGGUGGCAGGUGUUGCUGCUGCACCCUCCUCAGUUGCCCUCACAAUAAGCUUUGAAUUGUUAUUAUUGUUGUUCUUCGAAGGGAAAAACACCAUGUUACUGCUCCUAGAACCUGAAUUGGCAUUGGCUGCUGCAACAUUAGGAGUUAACAAGAACCCUGAAGCAGCAGAUGC
rnacentral:misc_RNA from 1 species